rnacentral:rRNA from 1 species
CCUGGCUCAGAAUGAACGCUGGCGGCGUGCUUAACACAUGCAAGUCGAACGAGAAAUCUUUAGCUUGCUAGAGAAAGUAAAGUGGCGCACGGGUGAGUAACGCGUGGGUAAUCUGCCUCCGAAUCGGGGAUAACAUUGCGAAAGCGAUGCUAAUACCGGAUAAAAUCUGGUUGGCUUCGGUGAACCGGAUCAAAGGUGGUCUCUUUAUAAAAGCUACCGUUUGGAGAUGAGCUCGCGUACCAUUAGCUAGUUGGUGAGGUAAAGGCUCACCAAGGCGACGAUGGUUGGCUGGUCUGAGAGGAUGAUCAGCCACACCGGAACUGGAACACGGUCCGGACUCCUACGGGAGGCAGCAGUGAGGAAUUUUGCGCAAUGGGGGAAACCCUGACGCAGCAACGCCGCGUGAGUGAUGAAGGCUUUCGGGUCGUAAAGCUCUGUCAGGUGGGAAGAACCCACCAGGUGUUAAGACCACUUGGUGCUGACGGUACCACCGAAGGAAGCACCGGCUAACUCCGUGCCAGCAGCCGCGGUAAUACGGGGGGUGCGAGCGUUAUUCGGAAUCAUUGGGCGUAAAGGGCGCGCAGGCGGUUUUGUAAGUCAGAUGUGAAAUCCCGGGGCUUAACCCCGGAAGUGCAUAUGAAACUAUGAGACUUGAGUAUGGGAGAGGGAAGCGGAAUUCCUGGUGUAGCGGUGAAAUGCGUAGAUAUCAGGAGGAACACCGGUGGCGAAGGCGGCUUCCUGGACCAAUACUGACGCUGAGGCGCGAAGGCGUGGGGAGCGAACAGGAUUAGAUACCCUGGUAGUCCACGCAGUAAACGUUGAUCACUAGGUGUAGCGGGUAUUGACCCCUGCUGUGCCGGAGUUAACGCAUUAAGUGAUCCGCCUGGGGAGUACGAUCGC